GUCAAAGCAAAACAUUUCAAAAUUGAAUAAGUUUUAAAUUAAUUAAAGCCAUUAUUUUGAAAAAAACCUAGAAGAAACCUGUUUUCGAAAAGACCAAACAUUCAACAAUUCAAAUUAAAAUUUAUAAUGGCUUGUGAUGGGAAGAUCGUGAAUAAAUUAUAAAUUAGUGAAUAAAUGAAGAUCACGAAUUACAAUCAAUGUUUUUAAAAAAUGAAGAUCACGGAUUACCAUCAAUGUUUUUAAAAAAGCGUAAAAAGAUCUUAAGUUGACCGAUUCGUAAAAAAUAUGUGAAGUAUUCAAAGGAAGGCUAUAAAGAGUGUUAAUAAUGAGCCUAAAAUUUCAAAUCAAGUUGAAACUGUUAAAAUUUCAGCAUAUUAUACUAACUUAUUAUACUAUUUAUUAUAUUCAGCAUAUUAUACUAACUUAUUAUACUAACUUAUACAGUAUGUUAUACUAACAAUCAACCUUGGAAACAGUAGUUAAUCAAACUAUUGACUAUUGUUAUAUAACGCAUUUUUUUUUAAUUUGUUUUGGAGCUGUUGGCCAACCACAUUUUUAUUUAUAACAUUUUUAUUUUUUACAUAUUCAAUAUUAUAUUUCAGUACCGCACAUAAUAGGUUUUAUUUUAAAUAUUUUUGUUUUUCGGUUUCUCUGUUUUUUUUUUGUUUUUGUUUUUUAAGAUUUUUGUUUAUUUGUAUUAUAAAAUAGUUCUUCAUUUAUUGCCGACAUAAAUUCCUUUUUUUUUAA